AGGGGCAUCAGUUUGGUUUGCCUGCAAACCAAAGCUGGCGACCGGCGCACGGGUGAGUAACACGUAUCCAACCUGCCUCAUACUCGGGGAUAGCCUUUCGAAAGAAAGAUUAAUAUCCGAUAGCAUAUAUUUCCCGCAUGGGUUUUAUAUUAAAGAAAUUCGGUAUGAGAUGGGGAUGCGUUCCAUUAGUUUGUUGGCGGGGUAACGGCCCACCAAGACUACGAUGGAUAGGGGUUCUGAGAGGAAGGUCCCCCACAUUGGAACUGAGACACGGUCCAAACUCCUACGGGAGGCAGCAGUGAGGAAUAUUGGUCAAUGGACGCGAGUCUGAACCAGCCAAGUAGCGUGAAGGAUGACUGCCCUAUGGGUUGUAAACUUCUUUUAUAUGGGAAUAAAGUGGUCCACGUGUGGAUUUUUGUAUGUACCAUAUGAAUAAGGAUCGGCUAACUCCGUGCCAGCAGCCGCGGUAAUACGGAGGAUCCGAGCGUUAUCCGGAUUUAUUGGGUUUAAAGGGAGCGUAGGCGGAUUGUUAAGUCAGUUGUGAAAGUUUGCGGCUCAACCGUAAAAUUGCAGUUGAUACUGGCAGUCUUGAGUGCAGUAGAGGUGGGCGGAAUUCGUGGUGUAGCGGUGAAAUGCUUAGAUAUCACGAAGAACUCCGAUUGCGAAGGCAGCUCACUGGAGUGUAAC
rnacentral:rRNA from 1 species